rnacentral:rRNA from 1 species
UUCGACGGGUAGCCGGCCUGAGAGGGUGACCGGCCACACUGGGACUGAGACACGGCCCAGACUCCUACGGGAGGCAGCAGUGGGGAAUAUUGGACAAUGGGCGGAAGCCUGAUCCAGCAACGCCGCGUGAGGGAUGACGGCCUUCGGGUUGUAAACCUCUUUCAGCACAGACGAAGCGCAAGUGACGGUAUGUGCAGAAGAAGGACCGGCCAACUACGUGCCAGCAGCCGCGGUAAUACGUAGGGUCCGAGCGUUGUCCGGAAUUAUUGGGCGUAAAGGGCUCGUAGGCGGUUUGUCACGUCGGGAGUGAAAACCAGGUGCUUAACACCUGGCCUGCUUUCGAUACGGGCAGACUAGAGGUACUCAGGGGAGAAUGGAAUUCCUGGUGUAGCGGUGAAAUGCGCAGAUAUCAGGAGGAACACCGGUGGCGAAGGCGGUUCUCUGGGAGUAUCCUGACGCUGAGGAGCGGAAGUGCGGGGAGCGAACAGGAUUAGAUACCCUGGUAGUCCACACCCGUAAACGUUGGGCGCUAGGUGUGGGGAUCCAUUCCACGGGUUCCGUGCCGCACUAANGCAUUAAGCGCCCCCGCCUG